UACGUAGGGGGGCAAGCGUUGUCCGGAUUUAUUGGGCGUAAAGAGCGUGUAGGCGGCCUGGAAGGUCAGCUGUGAAAAACUCGAGGCUCAACCUCGAGACGUCGGUUGAAACCACCUGGCUAGAGUCCGGAAGAGGAGAGUGGAAUUCCCGGUGUAGCGGUGAAAUGCGCAGAUAUCGGGAAGAACACCCGUGGCGAAGGCGGCUCUCUGGGACGGUACUGACGCUGAGACGCGAAAGCGUGGGGAGCGAACAGG
rnacentral:rRNA from 1 species